UAAGAACAAAAUUGGUUAACUUUGCAUGUUUGAGAUUUGCAAAGGUUAACCACUGUGUAUAAAAAUAGAUUUAAAAAAAUGAAUUUCUUCUGUCUAGCACAGGGAACUAUACUCAAUAUCUUAUAAUAACCUUUAAUGAAAACAAAUCUACGUAUGUGUAUGCAUGACUGGGACAUUGUGCUGUACGACAGAAACCGACAUAUUGUAACUGAUUGGACUUCAAUUAAAAAAUAUAAAUUAAAAAAAAGAAUGAAAUUGGUGAUGAAAAAUAACACCAUCUUCAUUAUCCAGGAGCCCUUUGGAUUUAGUAGAAACUCUUUCAAAGAAUUCCAAGUACUUGUAGAACUAGCUUCCUUCUAAAGCCUAUGCUGGUGUGUGGCCAGAAGUCAGGGUUAAUGGGGUGGGUUCUCAUUUAAGGAAUGCUGGUGCAUUCAGGCGACCUUCACUCUUCUCUACCUGUUCUUGGCUUCUGCUCCACCCUUCUUGAUGAAAGUCCUCUUUGGACCUUCCCAGGAAUGUUACAGUUUGACUUCCCUGCCUCCUUCAUCAUCGGUAACCACCUUGCUCCUUCCUCAAAAUGUUUCCCGGCCUCCACAGCCUUGUUUCUGCUCCUGGCCCCUAGGACUCACUAGACUGGGUUCCACAGGGACGCUGUCCUAUUAAAACUCCAUCGUCUCUCAGCUACUACUAGUGUGCUGGUAGCGUGCUGUUCCUAUUGUUGGAUGCUACGAAGCUGAGAAAGGUACCUAAGGUGGCAAAGACAAUGAGAAAUGAACAGAUUGGAACAAUGAACCAGUUGCAAAAUCCUCAUCUUCCGUGUCUCCAAAACAAUGCUCAGAUUGAGGGCAGGGAAGAAGAGAAGUGGGUAAGGGUGAUGAAAGACAGUUGUAAGCGUAAUGAAGAAGACGUGUGAGGGAGGUUGGGGGCGUGCUGAGACGCGUCUGGGAUACAGGACAAGCGAGCCUGGCUCUCCUCUCUGAUUCACGAGGUAAUGACUGGUUUACCGGCUGUGAAGCUCCUAGCGGCGGGCACGCCUGGCACGCACCUUGGCCUCAGCACCGGGCCACCGUCUUCCUUUCCUCCCUGGCCAUUUGUGAGCUCCUCUGAGCGUGCACUUGAAGAGGGACGUUGACAUAAAGAGCUCUCAGAGGGAAGCAGCCCGACAGUGAGGAUACAAGACUCCGCAGCAUUGCAGUGCGUGGGGCAUGGUGUCUGUCCUCGUAUCUCCAAGCGCUGUCAAAGGACUUCCCGAUUCAGCGUCUCCCCAGCAUGGGAAGGACCGCUGUCCAUCCUGGGGGGGGCGGGCUGGAGCUGCGCUACCACAGAGGCCUACCAACACGAUACGGCCAUAAUAAUUCUCUUUCCCCAGUGGAACUGCACAUUCCAAAGCUGGAUGCUGACCUGACGAUGGCACAAUACAAGAUGACUCAGGGAAGGAAUCCUGGCACCAGUGGUUUCCCAGCCAGACUCCUUUACUACAAUAUUCCUUUAUCACACGCUUGGCGUCUGUGUUCAGAGAUGCAAUCAAACGGACAGCCUGAACAAAACUCAUGGAUAAAUAGGUGAUGUUUCUACCUUAAAGAACCCAUUUUGGAAUGAUUGGAGUGUCCAGACCUCGCAGGAUGUAAUGCAAUGUAGUGAUUAAAUGUCCGGACUUCGGAGUCCAAUAGACAUGGCUCAAAGUUCAGCUCUGCUUCUCAUUAACUAUGGGGUCUUAGGCGAUUUUCGUAAGCUUGUUGGCCUCAUUUUCCUCAUCUUCGUAAGCUUUGUGCUCCUCACAGAUCUGUUCUGAGAGUUAAAAGAGGUAACGCUGAUGCUCAGGUGAGCACAGCCCCCGGCACCUCGGAACCGCCCCGCCUGGGUCAGCUCUCGUGUGGUUGUUGCUGAUUCAUCACCAUCAGGAAGCCAGCCCUGUCUGUCUUGCUGGCGUCUGCCCAUCUCACCCAGCUCUAACAAACUUAAAGGCAGCCUGCUCCAAAGGAAUUCAAGUACCUCUGAUAGAUUUUGUAGGUUUGUGUCUGUUUGUGGAUGGAGAGAGUUGCAAAACACAUCAAAGUCCUUGACCCCUCAUGAAACCAAGUGCUUCUUCAAACAGUCAGUCACAUCUCAGUGUCUUACGCACAAAACAACUUUAGACAUUUCUUCCUUUCCUCUCCCUGGUGUCCAGCCGCCUGGCUGGUGUCCUGACCCCCCCCCCCCCUCACCCAGCAACAGGGACCUACAGGAGAGCCACAUUCUCCUCAUCUAGGUAGCUGCUAGGCGUGUCUCUUGCCUUUCUGAUCAGGUUCGCUUCCAUGGAAACAGGAGCAUUUACUCCCUCCUCCUCACUUCCUACUGCCGUGAGCGCGUGUGGGUCUGGGGAAGGAAUUCCUAGCUCACUUCUUCUGGGUGAGACUGAGCAGCCAGGCUGGGCUACAUUACCAAAGCUAAGAAGUUCCCUGUAUCUGUCUCCACAACAAACCCAUUCAUGGAUGUGGGCCACAUCUUGGUCUCUCUCUCAGCCUAGAGCCAGCUCUAUACCCUGAAGGUGCUGAGAAAUGUACGGGGAGUUCAUGGCUGAGUGAAUAAGUGAACAAUUAAGAAAGCCAGCUGAGUGAGUUGCAUUAACCGUGGGCUGCACCAGUGCCAGACAUCAGGGAAGGAACGCUUAGGCUCUGCUGGAAGAACACCCUUUAUUCUCUAUCAGAACAAGAGGAAGGAGGUGGAGAAGAAGGGGGAGGAGAAAGAAGGACGGAGACAGUUAAAAAGUGAAUGCAAUUCCAUUUAUGUGCAUAUUAUUUUACAAAUUGCAAGGUAUCUAUUUGUUCAUUUAGGACUCAAUAUAUUUUUAUCAAACAA